GGAGUUUGGUUGCUGAUUUGAAUGAGGAAAGGAUCAGGUCCUUAGUUUCUGAAAACAAGCAUAGCUCCGGGUUUUCUCAACUGAAGUACGUACAAGGCUGGCACAUUUCUGUUAGAAUGUCUGCCCUUUUGGAGUCCAUCUUUACUGGAAAAACCUGCUGCUGUUGGUAAACCUGGGAAACCCCUCCCUGAAGGUUAAUAUCCCUCCAACAACAGAAGAAGGCGUCAACUAAAAGCAAAGAAGAGUUGGCUGAAAACUGAGAAGGAAAGACUAUGUCUUGGUCUGUAGAAUUGAAGCAGGUUGGUGGACAACAUGCUCAAGUCACAAGGUAACUUAGAUGCCAUUCACAAAAUGAGUGGGACAGUUUCAACGGGAGAGACCGAGACACAUCCCACAACAGUCUAUAGUCCAGUGGUUAAGGAUUCUUCUGUGAGAUGGGAGACUUGACUUCAAGUCCCUGCUUCACAUCAAGCAAAGUGAGGACUUGAAUUCACGUCUCUCAUCCUGGCUUGAAAUGGAAACUUUUUGCUUUGGAUCAAACAAAGUGCAUCAUUUGACCCAAAACAAAUGUUUAUAUAAUCCCACAAAGACAUCAGAUGGAGGAGGAACAAGGAGUAUUUUUUUGUGCCAAAUUAGAGACCGUUGAAAGGCAUGCCUCCUUCCAGGAGUGAUGAUAUAUAAUUAGUGCCAAUCAUUGUGAGGAACAACAAUUAUAUACUAUAUACAGCAGCCUGAAGGGAAAAAAUGUAUGUGAUUGCUCUCUACUAUUUUCAUAGAAGAAAAUUUCUUUAAAUUCCAGUAUUACUGAAAGAACUUUUUUGAUGAUGAUGAUGGCUCAUACGGCAUUGCAACACUUGUUUUAAAGAACAAUGAAAAAAACUGGCUAGCAGUGAAGUAGGUAUUCUAGUAUUUUCUAGAUAAACUUUUUCUGGUGUCAUGUUGUUACCUUAGUUUGUGUCUUGUCUUUUUAAUAAUUUUCUUUUUUAAGAAGUCAGAAAAUAUUCAACAGAAUACUGUUUGUAGCAACAGUGUGGCAAAAUGAAUAUUCAAAUGAGGUUUUGAUUUGUAUACAUUGGCAUAGGCAUUAUCUCGAAUAUUUGGAUAUUAACAUCUUUUUACCCUUAAUAUAUUGUUCUUUUGAAACAAGAUGAUGUCUGGCAUUAACUGGGAUGGUAUUUCAGGUGUGGCAACCAUGCAAAUAAGAGCUGUAGGAGUAAGCGAGUGCAUUUUCAGUAGGUGUUACAUUACAAGGAUUGCUUUCUGUAAGUUACUAACAGUGUCAAAUUACUUUUAAAGGAAUUUUAAACUGUAUUUUUAAGAUAAAACUACAAAGUGACCAGGUUUUGCACCAUGUAAUGCACAAGAAUCUCUUCCAGUCUCACAAUUAGUCAAUAGUAAAACAACCAAACAAAAACUCUACAUAUUCUUGAUGAUAAUCAGUUUCCUGUUGUGAACUACAGCACCAGUAUUGAAUAUGAAUCUCUAGGAAACUAUAGGAUACCAUUAAACCUGAUCCCAUUGCUGUACUCUGUUAAACUGCUGCUAAGUACUAACUCAGUGGAUUCUCUGUGUUGGAUGUGUAUAUGCAUAAUUUAAAGUACUUUAAGAUGAAUGGUAUUAUAUACAUUAAUGUAAAAUAUUAUAUUCACUACAGUAUUACAAAGAAAGUUUAAAAUGGUUAUGUUCCCACCUGGAUUUGUACUAGCUUUAAGAGUCAGGUUCCAAGACUGAAUCAAGGAGAACAGUCAGGUUUGGAAUCAGUGGUACCAAUUUCUUGUGAGCUGUUGUCAGGAUUUCAGCUGCAUCUGAAAGAGGGUCAUAAAAUAACUCCCAAAGCAGAGGAAUGGGGUUGGAUUCAAGGAUCCAAAUCAAAUGCCUCAUGCUAACUUUGAUAUUUCACAGGGAUUGAGGUUCAAGUUUCUGAAUGUGGUCUGACUCCUGUGAGUAUAUUAAAUUGCAACAUUUUUUUGAGAAAUACAAAUAUAUAAUACUUUAUUUAAUCCUUUGUGGGCAGAGUGUUGCUUUGGGGCCUUGUUGGGCUUGUAUUUGCUUGCUUCAGAACUAAAUAUUACAGGAAAUAACACAGUGCAUCACUAAUUCCUAGAACUUCCUAGAAAAUAAGAAAUUAAUUUAGCUAAAAUCUUUGAUAUUUUGAAAUUUGUUUUCAUUCUACAUUGGAAUGAAAAUGAGUCAUUUUGAAAAUUAUUGUGGGGGAAAAAAUCUAAUAUUCCCUCCUCCUCCCAAAUAGCCAAUAGCUCAGUGGUACCUGAUUCACAGUAGACACUUGAACCUGGGUCUCCCACAUCCCCAGUGAGUACCCUAACCACUGGGUUAUUCUGGUCUGUUUCUUUUUCUGUCUCCAAUAGAAACUUCAUCCUGGACCAUGGAAACAUUCCAGACCAAAGUUUCAUCAAAACUGAUAGUUUUCUGACUAGAAAUAAUCCCAAGCAACUCUUCUGAUUACAAAUAACUAUCUAAAACCUCUGUGCAUGAGAAAAUCAUUUGACAGUGUAUGUACUGUCUUGCAAUGUAUAUUACUGGAUACAACACAUUAUUUUUUUAAAUCAAGCAUGU